GCGGGCUUAGUAUAGUGGUAGUACGUGAGCUUCCCAAGCUCAAAACGCGGGUUCAAUUCCCGUAGCCCGCUCCA
rnacentral:tRNA from 1 species